rnacentral:rRNA from 1 species
AUACGAAGGGGGCUAGCGUUGUUCGGAAUUACUGGGCGUAAAGCGCACGUAGGCGGAUAUUUAAGUCAGGGGUGAAAUCCCAGAGCUCAACUCUGGAACUGCCUUUGAUACUGGGUAUCUUGAGUAUGGAAGAGGUAAGUGGAAUUCCGAGUGUAGAGGUGAAAUUCGUAGAUAUUCGGAGGAACACCAGUGGCGAAGGCGGCUUACUGGUCCAUUACUGACGCUGAGGUGCGAAAGCGUGGGGAGCAAACAGGAUUAGAUACCCCAGUAGUCC